rnacentral:misc_RNA from 1 species
AACUUUUAACAAUGGAUCUCUUGGUUCUGGCAUCGAUGAAGAACGCAGCGAAAUGCGAUAAGUAAUGCGAAUUGCGGAAUUCCAGUGAGUCAUCGAAUCUUUGAACGCACAUUGCGCCCUUUGGUAUUACGAAGGGCAUGCCUGUUCGAGCGUCAUUAUCACCCCUCGGGCCCCGUGCUCGGUGUUGGACGGCCGGUUCGGGCGACCGAACCCCUCCUAAAGACAAUGACGGCGGCCUGUGGUUCCCCCGGUACACUGAGCCUCUGGCACGUGCCGGACGAGGGCGCCCAGGACCCGGUCCUCUCCUCUCAGCAGGAAACUUCUCAAGGUUGACCUCGGAUCAGGUAGGAAUACGCGCUGAACUUAAGCAUAUCAAUAAGCGGAGGCU